rnacentral:lncRNA from 1 species
GUGAAUUAAGCGGUCUGUGUUGAGCGACAUGAAUUCCUUUACCGCGUGGCGUUCCAAAGGCGAUUCUCACCCGGGUGUUGCCUGUGCUGUGGCUCUCCUCUAUGCCCAAGAAACAGGUCUGCAUCCAGGCUUGGUGGGAAUUUCCACUACAGAAAGAGAAUCAAAUACCCCAGCCACUAUGCCAUGAAAUGCAACCUCUGGCUUCACAACCUCUGUGAGUUGCUGAAUUCUUCCUUCCAAGUUGCUCGCCAACUACCAGACUCUCUGCGCCAGAUCAGCCAUUGCCAUUGUCCUCGUCUCUGAAAAUUGUUCUGUCAAUGAAAUGAUCUACCAUGAAGGACAUCUGUGGAAACACAGUCUGUGACGAGAGCCCAUGAAUAAUUUCCACGUGCUCCUGCCAGUCUUUUAAGCUGCGCGUCCUUGAGUCACAGAGACAUGGCUGGGCAGCUGAAAGUGUCACCGAGUAUUCCGUGGACACCACAGUUCACUCAAGUGUUAACUGCUCACAAGGAUACACAGCCAGCCUCCCCCAAACAUGAGGCGAUCCAACUGUGUUCUUCCCAUGAGAAGCCAAAGGCAUCUCUCCCCAAGCACAAAGUAGUAAAGAGCCCUGGAUGCCUGGUUCCUAUUCCUGGGAGCGUAUGCAAUUACUCUGUCACCCUGGUGGCCAACACUAACUGUCCUAUCAGCAUGACUCCUGAUUAUCAGCUCCCCAUCUGCAUGAAAGUAAAAGCCAGCUCAUCCUAUUCACCGGCUCCGAAUCCUCCACUGGCUUCCCCUUUCACUAGAAUAAAACCCUAAAUCUUUACAAUGACCUGACAACAUAAUUCUCCCCCAUUCCCUCCGCCGAAACUGCUGUUAUUUUGCCGGCUUUGUGCAUUACUCAUCCUCUCUAGACCAGUUUGCUAGGGCUGCCGUAACAAAAUACUCCAGAAUGGGUGACGGAAACAACAGAAACUUAUUUUCCCACAGUCAUGGACGCUCACAGUGUCACCGGAUUUAGUUUCUUCUGAAAUGUCUCUCCUUAGCUUGAACAUGGCCAUCUUUUCACUGUGUCCUCACAUGGUCUUUCCUCUGGUGUCUCUCUGUGUCCAAAUAUCCUCUUUUAAUAAGGACACCAGUCAGACAGGAUUAGGGCUCACACCUUCAUUUUAACAUAGUCAUCUCUUUAAAAGGAUCUAUCUUCAAACACAGUCAUAUUCUCACAUACCAGGGGUUAAGACUCCAGCACAUGAAAUCGGAGGGGACAGGAUUCAGCCCAUGGCACCCUCGAUCAUUCUGCUGCAGCCAACCUGACUUUCCGAAAGUUAUUCAAACAUACCCCUUGCCUUUACGCCAUCUAUUCCUUACCUCUCACACACUGCAAAUCCAAUAAAGUCUGCCCCACUCUUUAAGGAUGCGCCUGC